GAGUUUGAUCAUGGCUCAGGAUGAACGCUAGCGGCAGGCUUAACACAUGCAAGUCGAGGGGUAUAGUUCUUCGGAAUUAGAGACCGGCGCACGGGUGCGUAACGCGUAUGCAAUCUACCUUUCACAGAGGGAUAGCCCAGAGAAAUUUGGAUUAAUACCUCAUAGUAUAACGACUCUGCAUGGAGGUGUUAUUAAAGUAACAACGGUGAAAGAUGAGCAUGCGUCCCAUUAGCUAGUUGGUAAGGUAACGGCUUACCAAGGCUACGAUGGGUAGGGGUCCUGAGAGGGAGAUCCCCCACACUGGUACUGAGACACGGACCAGACUCCUACGGGAGGCAGCAGUGAGGAAUAUUGGACAAUGGGCGCAAGCCUGAUCCAGCCAUGCCGCGUGCAGGAUGAUGGUCCUAUGGAUUGUAAACUGCUUUUGCACAGGAAGAAACAACGCUACGUGUAGCGUCUUGACGGUACUGUGAGAAUAAGGAUCGGCUAACUCCGUGCCAGCGGCCGCGGUAAUACGGAGGAUCCAAGCGUUAUCCGGAAUCAUUGGGUUUAAAGGGUCCGUAGGCGGUUUAGUAAGUCAGUGGUGAAAGCCCAUCGC
rnacentral:rRNA from 1 species